rnacentral:misc_RNA from 1 species
UGGAAAUACUUAUUUCCAGUACAAUAAAUAUUUGAAUUGCUUCUCCCGCUUUAGAAUUGAAGAAAUUGUUAUUUUUCACAAUUUUUAAAUGUAUAAAUUUAAAAUACUCUUUCCCACAGAUGCAUUGUGAAUGGACAUUGAAAUAUGUCUUCUAACCAGAACAGUAUUAUUAUAACCUUAGAUAUUUAUAAUUUCUUAGAUACAUAAUAUGCUGAAUUUCCAGCACUCAUAAUAUAUAUACAUUAUACAUGUAAUUGUUAGUAAUGGUCUAUGGCCGUUAUCUAUUAACAACAUUCCAUGAGAGAAUUUAAGCAAAGGACUUGAUGUCUGUUCAUUUGAAUGUGUUCAUUCAAAGAUCAAAAGAGCAAUGUAGAAAAAGUUUUGGCUUUGUUUAAUUCAUUCUCAGGGUGUAAAUUAACGAAUUUCCUUUCUGAUGAAACAUGCAUAAAUUUCAUGUACCGGGUACCUUAAACGAGUUCUUCAUAUAUAUAUUAAGGAAGUACCUAUGUUAAAGCAAUGGAAUAAUUUAACACACACACAGAUGGUUUAAUUAAUAAAAUUCUUUAGGAAGAUUUCAAGUUACCGUACUUACAGGAAAAUUGGUGGUCUUUUUUUUAAGUUUCCUGAAUACAUGUAUAAAUAAGCUUUAUGAUUUUCUUAUCAUUUGGAAUGUGAUGGGAAUGUAUAGAAUUAUGAUAUUGUUCAUCACAUAAAUUAUGAAAGUGUUUCAUUUUGCCUUAUAUUCAAAUGCAUCAUAUUCAGUAGAUUUCAUUUGUACGCCAAAAUGUCAACCUAAUACUCAUGAAGUACAGUAACUGUAUUCUUAUAUGUUGAAAUAUUUGUUAAGUUUAAUUAAUUCAUAGCCCUGUUGCUAAAUUGAUUGCUUUAUUUGAUGUAUGAAUGGUUCAAUUUCAAGUAGUGACCAUAUACCAAACUGUUUCUCUCUCUUAGUGGACUUCAAUGUUACAAAUUGAAAGACACUGUCUUCAUAGCCUGCAUGAAAUACAAGAUAUUUGAUGCUGUCAAAAAAAUAGGGCAUACUUGUGUAAUUUUGAUCAUAAAUGAUGAUUCCUUGAGUCAGUCAAUGGAGUAAGUAUGUUACAGUCAACUAGAACAUGUAGAAUUAAAAAAAUAUAUCAGUCUAGGCUUCAAUAUUAAUGUAUAGUUUUUAUUGUCGUGUGCAGAUUGAAUUCUGGGGUUGCAACUACCCUGCCAGAAUAAAAAGGGGCAUUGAAGAUUGGUCAUCAACAUACAUGUAGUAUGAUAUUUGAAAUGUCAUUUUUUGUUGUUAACUGCAAAUUAAUUGGAUUAAAUUUUAAAUUGU